rnacentral:lncRNA from 1 species
AUAAGGUACAUGUAGUAGGGAAGCUCAUGUGGUGAUUCAGUCUGUAGAUGAGGGUGUUUUGAGCCUGGGACUGAAGGUGCCACAAGCAGUGUCUAUUUCCUAGUCUGUCUUCACUUUCCACUCCCUAUACCAGCCUGAUGUCUCGGCUCUGUCCUUCACAACUGUAUGGUCACCUGUCCUCAGAAAACUGAGUGCUUUGGCACAGGGGCACCUUAUGAGAAGGGGUGGUUAGGCCGGAGGAACCUCCACUAACUCUCCCACUAGUUUUGGAAAUAUACCUGAGAAGCACACAAGAAUUUAGGGAGGGCAGAGUCUGGUUAUGGCUUGGAGAUGGAGAUCUUUGAUGUUUCAGGCAAUGGGUGAUUGGUAACAGAGCCAAUGAUUUCUGAAUAUUCUUAGAAGGUGUUGCCCUGGUGAGAAUGGUUAUAGCCAAAAGCGGAGAAAAAAAUUCUUGGGCUCGAAAUCUUUGAACAUUCAUCCAGCAUCCCAUCCUUUACCUCACUGGCAUGGGUUAAUCCAGUGCAGAAACAGCUUCAUCUUGUUAUCCAAGCCAACUUCUGGAGCUUCUGGAAGGAUGAUGCUCUUCCAAGCUGAGAAAUGAUCACAGACCAGACUAGCAGCUGGGAGACUGCAAAGAAGAAGAGAUUACCUUUUCA